UACGAAGGGAACUAGCGUUGUUCGGAAUCACUGGGCGUAAAGCGGGCGCAGGCGGACUAUCCAGUCAGGGGUGAAAGCCCAAGGCUUAACCUUGGAAUUGCCUUUGAAACUGAUAGUCUGGAGUGUGUGAGGGGGUAGCGGAAUUCCGAAUGUAGAGGUGAAAUUCGUAGAUAUUCGGAGGAGCACCGGUGGCGAAGGCGGCUACCUGGCACACAACUGACGCUGAGGCCCGAAAGCGUGGGGAUCAAACAGG
rnacentral:rRNA from 1 species